ensembl:lncRNA
UUCAUAAUUGCAAGAAAAAAACGCUGUGGUUUCUUCUCCCUAGACUCCUCUCCUAGCUGUUGGUGGGGGAUUCUAUGCUGUCCAACCAAGUUCUCUGUCAGUUUUGACAACUUUGAACCUAAGAAAGGAUGUUGAAUGAGGAAGGUCAAUCACUGAAAAGCAACAUUCAACUAAUCAGAAACCACAGAUAUGAAAUAGGAAGAUUUUGGAUAAAUCAUUAUCAAGGAAGCUAAGGACACCUGGGUUGUAUUGAAAGCACACCAGCCAUGAAAUCAGAAGGCCAGAAUUUGAAUUCCAGUUACUCACAAAUCUCUUCACACCACCUACCGUGAUUCUGGGCACAUAUCAUACCACCAGUGUUUGCUAACUGAUGGACAGAUUGAUCAUAAGCACACAUUCCAUCACCUCUUAUUGAGUGGUGUUUUUCAAAAAGUGCUGGGAGGAUCCUUUGCGCCAGAAUCUUCUUGGGUGUUUUCUAAAAUGCAUGUGCUUGACCCCCACCACGCACUGGCUAUUUCAGAAUUUCUGAGAGUGUAACUGUGGCAGCUGCCUUGUAGUGGAUAGAUGAUGGCCACAAACUGGCAUUUCUGCCAUCAAGAGACGGGGUCUAUUUCUCCCCUCCUUGAAAUUGGCCCAUGGCUGCUGUGAACAAUGAGCUGAACCUCUGCCAGUUCCAGGCCCAACCUUGGUCUCUGGAAGGCCUGGACUAUGUGGAGGGACCCUAAGACUACGUGAAGAGGGGAAAGAGCCUGCUGAGCCAGCUCUCCACUCAUCCCCUCCAAUUUGCCCAGAAUGUGGGUGAAGCUCUUCAGGACCCUCCGGAUGAGACCAGACACCAGCUGAAAACCAAUGGAUGACCCCAGGUGAUCACCUAGAGCAGAAGAAUCAACCAGUUGAUCCUUCCCAGAGUUCCUAACCCACAAAAAUGAAAUGGAAUAAGUUGGCUGUUGCUUUAAAUCGCUGAGUUUUGUGAUAACUUGUCACAUGGUGAUAGAGAAUAAGAAUAUGCAGAUGUCACACAUUCUCCAGGUUUUUCUGAUGUAUCCUAGAAUUUGAGUCACUGUUGUAAAGGGAUCUGAGAUUUAAUGAGUAAAAUUUUAUAUUAAAGAUGAGAAAAUAUAAUUCACUUCACAAUUUGUUAUUUAUAUAUCCUAAGGGAAGAAUAUAUGGCAAAAUAAAAUCUCAUCAUUUAUGUUGAACUCA